CUGAUCAAGAAUCUUAGGAACCUACUACUGAAAGCAUGCACUCAUUAGCUAGACAAUUCAUUUUGUACAUUACUUCCAGAUUCCGAGAAGGUAUACCGAGAGCUCACGGCAUUAUACAAUACUUUCAGAAUUCUCCAAGAACUUGGUUGCACAGUUUAGGUCCUCAUAAAUAUCUCAGCAUCCUUGGCCGGUAUGGGGUGUGGCCAAACAAGGGCCAUUUCAACUUCAUUUAGAGUUACCCGGAAGAGAUUGGUGAUAAUCAGCUCCCUAGGAUCAGGCGGCACAAAC